UGUCAUAGCUGAAUUAGAGAUCGGCUAUUGAUGUAUUUUUCACUCAUUUUUCAGGAGUUAUUAUGUCUCUAAGUGCAGAAGCAAAAGCAAAAAUCGUUGCCGAAUUUGGGCGUGACGGU
rfam:Chelonobacter oris strain 1662 contig000003, whole genome shotgun sequence.